rnacentral:other from 1 species
GGUUCACGGAGGUGUUGGUGACUGCCAAUAAUGUUUUUUGAUCUAUGUCUUAUUGAAUUAGGGAACCUACUAUGGCGGGUCGCGGUAGACUGAGCUUGUACUCAGAAACUAUAGAUCUUCUAGAACGGUACCCACCUGGUUUUGACCAGGUCUAAAGCUGAGGUAAGACGGCACUGCGGUGAACCC